CUCUUUACAGGACCAUCAUUCCUCACAAGGCCAGCCACACACACACACACACACACACACACACACACACACACACACACACACACACACACACACACACACACACACACACACACACACACACACACACACACACACACACACACACACACACACACACUGGUGAACAGGCAGGAAGUGAGGAAGUGUGUUAAGCUGUUUGUCUCGCUGUCUGUCUGUGGCUUUGCACCGUGGUUAGGUGUUAGAGUGGGAGACAUCUACAACUUGUAGUAGAGGUGUCUUGUGGUUUUUAACAUGGUCUCGGGGGAUGAUUGAAUGACCUUUUCAGAUCCAGUAAUGUAUGAUGUAUGAUGUGGUGGGCUAAACCACAGACUCUCAACUUUACAGAGUGGAGGCCAGUGAUAUUACACGAUUUCUCUUCCUGUAGAUAAGACUGUUUGGCUGCCUGAAAUCCCCUCCUAUGCCAGUGAAAGGCAUUUACUGAGUUGUCGUUGCCGAUCACUUCCAGUCAGAUACAGUAGGUCUCAUACUCCCAGUCAGAUACAGUAGGUUUUAUGCUCCCAGUCAGAUACAGUAGGUCUAAUACUCCCAGUCAGAUACAGUAGGUUUCAUACUCCCAGUCAGAUACAGUAGGUCUUAUACUCCCAGUCAGAUACAGUAGGUCUCAUACUCCCAGUCAGAUACAGUAGGUCUCAUACUCCCAGUCAGAUACAGUAGGUCUAAUACUCCCAGUCAGAUACAGUAGGUUUUAUGCUCCCAGUCAGAUACAGUAGGUCUUAUACUCA